rnacentral:rRNA from 1 species
GAUGAACGCUAGCUACAGGCUUAACACAUGCAAGUCGAGGGGCAGCAUGAAAGGAACUUCGGUUCUUUUUGAUGGCGACCGGCGCACGGGUGCGUAACGCGUAUCGAACCUGCCUCAUACUCGGGGAUAGCCUUGCGAAAGUAAGAUUAAUACCCGGCGGUCUCGGAUGGCCAUGCGUCCUAUUAGCUGGUUGGCGGGGUAACGGCCCACCAAGGCGAUGAUAGGUAGGGGUUCUGAGAGGAAGGUCCCCCACAUUGGAACUGAGGCACGGUCCAA